ACGAGAUCAAGUUUCAUUUUGAUAUGAUUUUCCUAUCUACCUACUGCCCAAAUUCCAUUAUUUUUUAAAAAGAAGUGAAUUUGCAAUGAGAUAAUGAAGAUUUUUUUUAUUUGUUCUCUACUGCCCUUAGGUGAUACGGUAAUAAACUAACCCCUAUACAUUUAACAUGGAUAUUUAAUAAUCCUGAUAGUUUUAAAAUACAACAUAUAUUUUGAAAGAAACAAAAAAAUCAUUCCUUUCUGUUCUUCCCAUUCGUAGGCAUUGCACAGUCAACUGAUGAAAAAGUAAAUAAAACAGAAGCCCCACCCUUCCUCUUUAGUGAUAAUCUCAUAAUUCAAUUCAUUCUGAACCAACAGGUUGCUAUGGUAGCAGGAGACUCAGGGUUACAGCGUUGAACCAUUCGUUCUACAAUGUGACAUCAGUGCAGUGCAGGAGGCGCUUCAAAAUUCAUGGCAGUGAACAUCAGAAGCACUUGCUACUUACUGCUGAUCAAGCGAUGAAAUGAAGAAAGCUAUUUGGAAGAUGUUCAUUUCACAUAAGAAUGAAUAAUCUAAAGAUUUGAUGCAUCAAUCCAGGACAUACUAGGUGUGGCCAGGAUGUUUUGGGCUGUGCAGGUGCUUCCUGUAUUCACAUGUGGAGCCUGGGAGGCUGACGAGCUCACUCACAGAGCCUGAGGGCAUGCAGGUAAAAGCAGAAUUCAGGAACCAGGAAAACAAGAAGUGCUGUAAUGUAAUACAACCCUCUAUUCUGUUAUGACUCAGCAGAAUCACAAGAUUUGAGCUCUGGAGGUGUUUUCUGUCCAUCAAACAAACGAAGCCCACUCCACCAAGAAUAACUGGCUCUAUACCUUGUUUUUCUAACAACCUAAGCUACGUUGUUUCCAGUUCUGGCCCUGGAUUAUUGGACUCACUGAGUGACCUUUGGCAAGUCACUAAACAUCUCUGGACUCCAGUUUACCCAUCCAAACCUCAGGGGUCAGGUGAGUGAGAUCC
ensembl:lincRNA